rnacentral:rRNA from 1 species
CACUCCUGCGGGAGGCAGCAGUGGGGAAUUUUGGACAAUGGGCGAAAGCCUGAUCCAGCAAUGCCGCGUGUGUGAAGAAGGCCUUCGGGUUGUAAAGCACUUUUGUCCGGAAAGAAAUCCUUGGCUCUAAUACAGUCGGGGGAUGACGGUACCGGAAGAAUAAGCACCGGCUAACUACGUGCCAGCAGCCGCGGUAAUACGUAGGGUGCGAGCGUUAAUCGGAAUUACUGGGCGUAAAGCGUGCGCAGGCGGUUUGCUAAGACCGAUGUGAAAUCCCCGGGCUCAACCUGGGAACUGCAUUGGUGACUGGCAGGCUAGAGUAUGGCAGAGGGGGGUAGAAUUCCACGUGUAGCAGUGAAAUGCGUAGAGAUGUGGAGGAAUACCGAUGGCGAAGGCAGCCCCCUGGGCCAAUACUGACGCUCAUGCACGAAAGCGUGGGGAGCAAACAGGAUUAGAAACCCUUGUAGUCCCAUGA